CAGCAGCCACGGGAAUACGGAGGGCGCGAGCGUUACCCGGAUUUACUGGGCGUAAAGGGCGUGUAGGCGGCCUGGGGCGUCCCAUGUGAAAGGCCACGGCUCAACCGUGGAGGAGCGUGGGAUACGCUCAGGCUAGAGGGUGGGAGAGGGUGGUGGAAUUCCCGGAGUAGCGGUGAAAUGCGCAGAUACCGGGAGGAACGCCGAUGGCGAAGGCAGCCACCUGGUCCACUUCUGACGCUGAGGCGCGAAAGCGUGGGGAGCAAACCGGAUUAGAUACCCGAGUAGUCCCUGUCUCUUAUAC
rnacentral:rRNA from 1 species